AAGCAUAUCAAUAAGCGGAGGAAAAGAAACCAACAGGGAUUGCCCUAGUAACGGCGAGUGAAGCGGCAACAGCUCAAAUUUGAAAUCUGGCGCAAGCCCGAGUUGUAAUUUGUAGAGGAUGCUUCUAGGUAGCGACCGGUCUAAGUUCCUUGGAACAGGACGUCAUAGAGGGUGAGAAUCCCGUAUGUGACCGGCCCGCACCUUCUACGUAGCUCCUUCGACGAGUCGAGUUGUUUGGGAAUGCAGCUCUAAAUGGGAGGUAAAUUUCUUCUAAAGCUAAAUACCGGCCAGAGACCGAUAGCGCACAAGUAGAGUGAUCGAAAGAUGAAAAGCACUUUGGAAAGAGAGUUAAAAAGCACGUGAAAUUGUUGAAAGGGAAGCGCUCACAACCAGACUUCUGGGCGGUGUUCCGCCGGUCUUCUGACCGGUCUACUCGCCGUCCCGAGGCCAACAUCAUCUGGGACCGCUGGAUAAGACCUCAGGAAUGUAGCUUCCCUCGGGAAGUGUUAUAGCCUGUGGUGAUGCAGCGCGUCUCGGGUGAGGUCCGCGCUUCGGCAAGGAUGUUGGCGUAAUGGUUGUCAGCGGCCCGUCUUGAAACACGGACCAAGGAGUCUAACAUCUAUGCGAGUGUUCGGGUGUCAAACCCCUACGCGUAAUGAAAGUGAACGGAGGUGGGAAGCGCAAGCUGCACCAUCGACCGAUCCUGAUGUCCUCGGAUGGAUUUGAGUAAGAGCAUAGCUGUUGGGACCCGAAAGAUGGUGAACUAUGCCUGAAUAGGGUGAAGCCAGAGGAAACUCUGGUGGAGGCUCGCAGCGGUUCUGACGUGCAAAUCGAUCGUCAAAUUUGGGUAUAGGGGCGAAAGACUAAUCGAACCAUCUAGUAGCUGGUUCCUGCCGAAGUU
rnacentral:rRNA from 1 species